UCUUCCCACAGCCUUCUAAAGUCAUCAAUUCGAGAUUAAGAUUUUUGCAACUACAUUUAAUGAAGAGAAACCAAGCCUCUCUUCCAGUUUCAGGAAGUGCGCGUUUGUUUUACACGACAAAACGAGGAAGCCUCAAGGCUUACAACCUAAACAUUGGAGCCCCCAGAAGCAGCGAAGGCAUUUGGAAUCUUGUCAGUCCUAUAGCGGGGAUACACUGGUCCAGGCCCCCUAUAAGCUAAGCCCACUUUGCGUGACCAUAUGUCACCUGACCCCAGCUCCAGUUACUCUAGCUUUUAUAAAAAGAUGUUGCAAGUUGUCUACCUUUGUUCAGGAGAACCACGGGCACAGUGAUGAUGGUGACAAGCGCAGCUACACCAAGCAGUCCCAGGAGAACCUUCCACGGUGUCUGCAAGCAGGUCAGAUUGUGAACAAUUAGAGAAAAGCCUUCGUCCCUCCUCUGGGAAGAGGACUGGGACCUAGGCCCCUUCAGAAGCAGAGGGGUUUGCAGGGGCACGAGGAGACGGAUGGGGUUUGGGGUUCACUCUGGCAGGAACCAUUGAAUUUUGGCCCCGAGCAUGAUCUUGUGAUCUUGUUGGCAUCUCUCCUCCCACCCACCCGUCUGAAGCCAAGUGAGGGUGCCGCGUGCGUUCCACGGGUGAUUGUCCCCGACCUCCAAGGCUCAGUGCCUGGGUCUCAGUAGGACGCUCCACGGAUCUAAGGGAGAAGAUGGUGCGGAGGACGGGACGUUCCUUCACCUGUUAACUUGGCCCCGUGGCUUCCGCCUAAUGGCAGCUCCAGGUUGCCUCCAAGGAAUCUGGGGAGGGUGGUUAUGCAUGGGGACAUUAAGUCACUCCACCAAGUUACUCCGCCGUGAAGUUUUGGAGCUUCAAUUGAGAGUGCAGGACACAGCCAGAAUACCAAAAUCAUUUGACUUUAGGUCUCCGUGUCUCCACAAUGUAAAGGAAUCCAUUUCUUUAUAAAUCGCCAUCCGUGGCAGGCCAUACAAACGGACUAAGGUACGCAAAUUGUCCCCUUCAUUAUGUCUCCCGACUGCCCCGUCUGUUUCCACCUCUCUCUCCCAACACCCGAAGAACUUGAAUCAAGACUUAUUUGGAUCUUGAGCUGGAACUGAAGAAGCAAUCUAAAAAGGCCUCCAGGGAACAGUAUAAGAUGGACGCCUUGCUGUCCGUUGCUCUCAGCACUUGGGGCACUUACAAUAGUGGGGGCAGUUAUAGCAGUAAUAUCUACGUCAGCUCUGGGCUGCACUAAGAGCCAUUGGAUCGCAUCUACAGAAUAGAUCAUCUUGUUUCCUGGGAUAAAUCUUCCAUUCCUACAUGAUUGCUUCCAUACUCGGUGCACAUUUUGAGAGACUUUCGUGUGUCAGGCUUUUGAUGGUGUUUUUAAUAAAUCCUUAGUCAAUCAACUGGUCAAUACUCGAGUUGGCAUAGAUCUUCUACCCCAUCACUCUUUCCCCACACAGAAUGGAAAAGCAGAUGUACCCCUCAAGGUUCUGGGUCUUAGGAAGAUUUCUUGAGUAGAGCUUUGAUCGUAGCAGCUAUCCCCAAAGAGCUGUGAUAGCUUUGUUUGCUAAAGAAAGAUGUCUCUCCCCUCCACUGUUCUUGGUUACAGGGCGCUCUCCACAAAGCCACUGAAGGAAAGUGAGACAUUAACCUGAUGGGAGAAGGCACAGCGGAAACCAAGUUCUCUGCACCAGUGUUUGUUUUGGCCUUGUGGUAUCCGGUGGGCUUGUCUCUACCAUAGCACGUGGUGGUCUGAGGUGUCUGCCCGGGUCCACUUUAUCACUUAGAAGAUCAAGUAAAACUCCAUUCAUCUUGGAGAACCUGUUUUUAUAGUUAGUUGGUGAUACUCAAAGUGAAUCUUCUAAAGGUUCUCAUUUGGAUAUAGGUACUCUGCGUGUGAAAUGAUGAGGAUUUAAUCCAAUGUGAUUCAUUCUUUAUAAAAUGGAGAAACAGAGGCACUCGCAGAGGGAAAUGGCCUAGAGAGGGGGAAGAUGGUCACCUAUAAGCACAGAGGCCUAGAGCAGAUAGAUAUUUUCCUUACAGUAAGGAAUCUUCAGUGUAGGACCCCUUGAGUUCAGACUUCUCGCUUCCAGAACCAGGGAACAAACCACGAUUGUUGUAACCAUCAAGUUUGUGGUAGCUCGUCAUAGUAGCUCAAGAAAACGGAUGCACGUGACGUUUCAUGGUUGUGCCUUCAGACGCUCCUAUAACCCCCGGAGCAAGGCAGUUGCUGAAAUUCAAAUAGAAAGCAGUCAUUUGCCAUUGUAGCCACCUUCAAGGAGGUCCCCUAAGCUUUGGCAUAAUUAAUUAUAACAUAGUUCCAGUUCAGUCAGGGCUACACAGUGAGACUCUGUCUACAGAAACUGGCAGGGCUGGAGAGAUGGCUUAUGGCUUAAGAGAGCUUGCUGUUAUUCCAGAGGACCUGAAUUGGAAUCCCAUCAGUCACAUGGGAUUUCACAGUUAUGUAUAGCUUCAUUCCUAGUGGGCCCUGUAUCCUCUUCAUGCCUCUUUGGGAACCAGAUAUGACCAUGGUACACAGACAUACAUGUAGACAAACCGUUCGUGCACAUAAGAUACAGUUUUUUAAAAAGAAGUUGAUAAAGAUGUUUUUAACUCUGA